UGCGCCUCCACCACUGCGACGCGGGAAAGAAAGACGGAAAAACGCUGAAAUUGAAAGUUUGCUGCUGUUGACUCCAAAAAGAUUCAUACCACUCAAGCAAGAUUAGGAACCUUAAAUAUACAAUGGCAGCCGAAGACUCACAAACGAUGAUUCUU